rnacentral:rRNA from 1 species
CGUAGGUGGCGAGCGUUGUCCGGAAUUACUGGGUGUAAAGGGCGUGUAGGCGGGACUGUAAGUCAGAUGUGAAAUUCCAGGGCUUAACUCUGGAGCUGCAUCUGAAACUAUAGUUCUUGAGUGCUGGAGAGGAAAGCGGAAUUCCUAGUGUAGCGGUGAAAUGCGUAGAUAUUAGGAGGAACACCAGUGGCGAAGGCGGCUUUCUGGACAGUAACUGACGCUGAGGCGCGAAAGCGUGGGGAGCAAACAGGAUUAGAUACCCUGGUAGUCCACGCUGUAAACGAUGGAUACUAGGUGUAGGAGGUAUCGACCCCUUCUGUGCCGCAGUUAACACAAUAAGUAUCCCACCUGGGGAGUACGGCCGCAAGGUUG